CCAACCAAGCUGAGCGGAUACCUCCUCCUCCUCUCACCCAACCCCGACGCUGUCUCCUCUCCCGAUUCCGCCGCCGCCGCCAGCGACGACGACUCCUCUCCUCCAACACCGCCGCCGCUGAAGACACCCUCCUCCUCUCCCCACGCACGCAAGUCGCCGCCACCGACCUCCUCCUCUCCCCGAACACGCGCGCAGCCUACCCCUCCUCCCGCCGGCCGUGGCCCCAACGCCGCCUCCGGUGCCCUCCUCCUUGCAAUCGCACACGAGCCGAUCCGAUCCGAUCUGAUCCGAUCCGGUCCGGCUCCCUGCUCCCACCGCCACCGCAGCCUUCUCCUCCAAGCUCCUCAGCGCUCGGAACCCUAGACGGCGGCCAUAGCGACCGAGGGUGCAGCACAGGAAUCCGCACCAUCCACUACAGGAGUUCGGGGGGGAUCUGGUGAGGAUGACAACCAAAGGUCACCACCAUCUCUUGCCAAGACGUGACCUUGCUUCAAUCUCCCUCCCGCCCUGCCAUGAUUCGAUUGUUUUCCUCCUCAGCAUAGGCACAGAAAAAUCAGUGCUAGAGAUUAUAAUUUCUUCAUGUAUAAUACACCAUGUUUUUAGCACAACUCAUGCUGCAGGCGUCGGGUGCAGCGCAGGAUCCGCACACCCUCUCCUACAGGAGUUCGAGGGCAAGGAGAAGCUGCUCCAACUGGUGAGGUCACCACAAUCUGUUGCUAAGAGACCACAGCGAUUGGAUUGAUUGAUGGGGACUCUUCUUCCCUGCCACGAUUCGUCUUCCUCCCCUGCAUACGCACAGGUACCAACACCUAGUAGAGGUUUGAGAUGCGGGUGCACAAGGGGGUCAUCGACCUCGUCAGCUCCCUGGAUGUUGUCCAGGAGAUCACUAUCGAGAUGUUGAGGUGACUAUCAGCGACCAGUAGUGGUCAUGAAGGGAGUCAAGGACCCGCAGCUGUCGGUUGUGGGCCCCGUUAGGAUGCCCACCAAGGUGCUCAACAUCACGACAAGGAAGUCCCCAGCUGUGCGUAAGGUGUUGCCAACUGCUGUUGACAACCAGACGCAAGUGGGUAUCCUUGUUGGAACUUGGAAGGUGUGGUUGAGAUGGCAAUGGAUAGCAAGCUCCUGGGCGAGUCUGACCUCGUAGGCAUCCCGCCAGCACCAAGGGGCAUGCCACAUAAUGAGGUGGCCACUGCCGCCUAAGACCAAGUCCACCUCCACAAUGGUGUGUUGUGAGAGGUGCGGCCUCUGGUUUCUCUGCCAUGUUCGCAUCGCUCCCACCUGAAUCGACAGUUUGUUGAGAGCAUAGAUGAAGAAAUAAAAACCUGGAAGUCAUGGUUGUUACAGGCUGGGGAACUUUGAUAUGCAUAAGGCCCAUGUGGAGUCGGUUGUCAAGCUAAAGGCACUCGACACCGAGACCAUCUAGCAGUUCGUACAUGUCGUGAUGAUCUGAGCUCCCAUGAGCUCCCAUGACUGCCUCAUUAGCUACAACUACUAAGGGUACAGUUGAUGCCUCCGGGAAUUCUGGUUACCUUGGUCCAUCUCAGCUAGUUUGACAAAAAAGGACUAUCUGGAGUAAUGCAAACAUUACACACAUGUACCUCGGCUUCCCGCAGCAUGAUGAGAAUGGUUUACCCGCAUCUAUGGCGGAGGUGGCCACAUCAUCCUCGGUUUGCACUGUUGUUGGGGUACCUUCCUGGACCACAGAGUUGUCUGGCACAAGUUUAGUCGGCAAAGCUCUGCAUGCUCGGGUGCUCACUCUAACGUCUAAUACCCUGCCAUUCCGUUUGCUUCAGCCAUUGGCAAGAAGACUCGCAUCAACAUUGUCGUCAUUUGGCAUCUCGACUCUGGCAAGUUGACCACCACUAGCCAUCUUAUGUACAAGCUUGGAGGUAUUGACAAGCGUGUGAUCGAGAGGUUGGAUUGGGAAGGUGCUGAGAUGAACAAGAUAUCAUUCAACUACACGUGGGUGCUUGGCAAGAUGAAGGUUGAGCGAGAGAGGGGUAUCACCAUUGAUAUUGGCUUGUUGCCCUGUGGAAGUUUGAGACAAGAAAGUACUAUCGCGUGUUGCACUAGUGCAGAACCGGGCAAUAGCACCGGUUCGUAAGGCCCUUUAGUGCCGGUUCCAUAACCGGCACUAAAGUGUGGGCACUAAAGCCC